rnacentral:rRNA from 1 species
GACGAACGCUGGCGGCGUGCCUAACACAUGCAAGUCGAGCGGAAAGGCUCCUUCGGGAGUACUCGAGCGGCGAACGGGUGAGUAACACGUGGGUAAUCUGCCCAGGACACAGGAAUAACCAGUGGAAACGCUGGCUAAUGCCUGAUGAAGUGCCGGCCUUGCGGGGCUCGGUACCAAAGGUAGCUUCGGCCUCCGGUCUUGGAUGAGCCCGCGGCCCAUUAGCUUGUUGGC